UAUAAACCACCCCUCAUUCCUAUCCCAGUGAUCGUCUCUCCACCAUCAUCUCCAGGACAAGAGCAAGAGUCCCACUCUCCACCACAACCAUCUUCUGCAUACAAGAAGAGGCACCACUUUCGUUCACCACCAUCUCCAAAACACAAGCACAAACACCACUCUCCACCACCCCUAUCUCUAGAAGACAAGCACUGGCACAACCAACAUCCUCACCACAAGCACCAUUCUGCCCCACCAUCAGGACACAAGCACCAUCAUCACUUGGCUCCGUCACCAAAACAAAACUAGAAAUGG
rnacentral:lncRNA from 1 species